rnacentral:rRNA from 1 species
GCUGGCGGCACGCCUAAUACAUGCAAGUCGAACGGAGUAGCAAUACUUAGUGGCAGACGGGUGAGUAACAUGUGGGUAUCUUCCCUUUGGUGAGGAAUAACACGAGGAAACUUGUGCUAAUACCUCAUAAGUCUUUACGGAGAAAGCUUUAUGCGCCGAUGGAUGAGCCCGCACUUGAUUAGUUUGUUGGUAGGGUAAUGGCCUACCAAGACUGUGAUCAAUAGCUGAUUUGAGAGGAUGAUCAGCCACAUUGGGACUGAGACACGGCCCAAACUCCUACGGGAGGCAGCAGUAGGGAAUCUUGCACAAUGGAGGAAACUCUGAUGCAGCGAUGCCGCGUGAGUGAAGAAGGCCCUUGGGUUGUAAAGCUCUUUCGUCGGGGAAGAAAAUGACUGUACCCGAAUAAGAAGGUCCGGCUAACUUCGUGCCAGCAGCCGCGGUAAUACGAAGGGACCUAGCGUAGUUCGGAAUUACUGGGCUUAAAGAGUUCGUAGGUGGUUAAAAAAGUUGGUGGUGAAAGCCCAGAGCUUAACUCUGGAACUGCCAUCAAAACUUUUUAGCUAGAGUUUGAUAGAGGAAAGCAGAAUUUCUAGUGUAGAGGUGAAAUUCGUAGAUAUUAGAAAGAAUACCGAUUGCGAAGGCAGCUUUCUGGAUCAUUACUGACACUGAGGAACGAAAGCAUGGGUAGCGAAGAGGAUUAGAUACCCUCGUAGUCCAUGCCGUAAACGAUGUGUGUUAGAUGUUGGAAAUUUAUUUUCAGUAUCACAGCGAAAGCAAUAAACACACCGCCUGGGGAGUACG